rnacentral:lncRNA from 1 species
UACACACAUUGCCAUAAUAGAAGACAUUGUAAAACAAGGACUACGCAAACGAGAUCAGAGAAUGAAAAGAACCUUUCAGUUGAAGCAAUUAGAAUGGACCUCCCAAGGACAUUUCAGAUGCGUGGACAGCGUGAAUGUGGGCAGGAAGCUUCAAACAGCAAGCACGCAUAAGAUCCCAGAGUAGUCCCCCGAUUUCCAAUGCAGGAGGUUGCUUGGUGGCAGAGCUCUGCAAGUGUCCAACAGCAGGCAUUCCAUGGAGCCGUGCACUGGUGUGGAGUGCCAGCGUCUGAUAAAGAAAACGAAGAUACUCUAACGAAGCAGGAAAAGUUCCUGGAUGUGGCAGAUCCAUCUCAAGGCUUUGGAUAAAAGACUGAAGCAGGAGUAAUUGGAUACCAGAACAUUAUAUAUAUAUUUUUUGCAUUAAUCCUUUUGCUUUUUGCUUACCCUUUUCUUCCCAUGGCACUGAAGUGGAAUAUCCCAAGUGCCACCGAACUCAGAGAACUCCACGCCGGAAUGGGGGUGAGGCUGGCGUUCUACCUCUGGCAUAGGAUAAGGAUGGCAGGCACGUAAUAUUACGAAAUGUAGGACAAAUUCAAGCGAAAGAGAGGGAGAGGGAGAGAGAGGGGGAGAGCCAGAGACAGAUGGCGGAUCUGGCUAGGAGCCAAAGCCAGUGAAAUGAAUUACAUUGCUGAAUAACUGUAUACCAUUGAUUCUGCCACUUGUUGCUGCAUGGCAAAAAAAAAAAAAAAAAAAGGAAAAAAAAGAAAAGCCCCAGUGUAUGCUGGAAUCUCCUUAUUUGUCAUGUGCGCAGCAGACAACUUUCACACACAACUCAAUCCUGACAAUGAUACGCUCUGGGUGUCUUGAGUGGGUGUGGAGGUGCAUGAGAAGGUUGUGUGCAUGUAUGUGUGGCCGAGAAAGCAAAUGUGGGUGUGUGUGCUUAUGCAUGUGGGAGAAAGGAAAAACAAUCCUUGCAAUCCGGCCAUUUUUGUUUAAUGAAGAAUGGAAGACUGGCAUUCAGAGAUGUGGUUACGUGCCGCAUAUUAAUGCGUGCUCACCACUCAUCCUCCCCCACUUUAAAAAUGAGUGGCACAGGAGUGAAGCUCUCUACAGAUCAACCACGUGGGAGAAGCAACUCAUGAGGUGGCAUCCUGUUACAGGAACAUCUUUCACAAAUUAUGGUUGCCGAAGGCUUUUGCUUCAUAGAGAGACACGGAAAAUGGAUCUGGACCAAGCCUUGUGCCUUUUUUGCAGUGGCUACAAUUUCUCUUCUCCAUGCUUGCAUCAAGAGGAACACUUUCUCAGACUUGUC